UGGGGAAUUUUGGACAAUGGGGGCAACCCUGAUCCAGCCAUCCCGCGUGUGCGAUGAAGGCCUUCGGGUUGUAAAGCACUUUUGGCAGGGAAGAAACAGCCUGGGAUAAUACCCCGGGCGACUGACGGUACCUGCAGAAUAAGCACCGGCUAACUACGUGCCAGCAGCCGCGGUAAUACGUAGGGUGCAAGCGUUAAUCGGAAUUACUGGGCGUAAAGCGUGCGCAGGCGGUUCGGAAAGAAAGGUGUGAAAUCCCAGGGCUUAACCUUGGAACUGCACUUUUAACUACCGAGCUAGAGUACGUCAGAGGGGGGUAGAAUUCCACGUGUAGCAGUGAAAUGCGUAGAGAUGUGGAGGAAUACCGACUGGCGAAGGCAGCCCCUGGGAUGAUACUGACGCUCAUGCACGAAAGCGUGGGGAGCAAACAGGAUUAGAUACCCUGGUAGUCCACGCCCUAAACGAUGUCAACUAGCUGUUGGGGUUUAUUAACCUUAGUAGCGCAGCUAACGCGUGAAGUUGACCGCCUGGGGA
rnacentral:rRNA from 1 species